GGAGUUUGGGCCGUGUCUCAGUCCCAAUGUGGCCGUUCACCCUCUCAGGCCGGCUACUGAUCGUCGCUUUGGUGGGCCGUUACCCCGCCAACUGGCUAAUCAGACGCGGAUCCAUCUCACACCGAUAAAUCUUUUACCACAACCCCAUGCGGGGUCGUGGUCUUAUGCGGUAUUACCAGCCGUUUCCAGCUGCUAUCCCCCUGUGUGAGGCAGGUUAUCCACGCGUUACUCACCCGUCCGCCACUCUCACCACGCGCAAGCGCGUGGAUCCCGUUCGACUUGCAUGCUUAAGACGCGCCGCCAGCGUUCGUU
rnacentral:rRNA from 1 species